ACCAUAAAUCACCUAACUCUAGGGUGUGUGCUUGCCAGGCAUGUCUGGGCAGUUAUAAUGGACAACUGGGAAAAGCCGGAGUGGAUGCCUCAUCCGGAUGCAAGCCUUGUGGAUUGGUGGACAACGCUCAACCCCCCAAGGUAGUUCAGAUAAGAAAUAUGGACCAUGAUCGUUCUGGUGGCUUGGAUGUCGUGGAAGCAUAGAAAUGACAUAGUGUGUAACAGUGCAUCACCCUCACGGGAUGACGUGCUCAAACAGAUUUAG
rnacentral:rRNA from 1 species